GCAGGACUCCAGUGAUUGGACUAAACUUGAACCUGAGGUGAACAGUACAGAUGCAGACGAGGCUCCAACUUACAGCCUUCAGUCUGCAGCAGGACACUUUGAAUGCAGAGUCUCGGGCUUGCGCUGGGUCUGUAAGGGAAAGACCAGCUUUCAGUACCAGUUUAGAUCUUGGGAGAGACACAUGGAGAGGAUGGAGAGCAGACAAUACAUGCCUGCAGGUCCUCUGAUGGACGUCACAGUCACUGCUGGGAAGUUAAAUGAAGUUCACCUGCCACACUGGAUCUGCAUCGAUGACGUCCCUGACAUAUUGGACAUGUUUGCAGUCGUCCACAUAGAUGACUGUGGAGAUGUUGUGGAAAAAGUGUCUGAGGUCACAC